GACGAACGCUGGCGGCGUGCUUAACACAUGCAAGUCGAACGGAAAGGCCCUGCUUUUGUGGGGUGCUCGAGUGGCGAACGGGUGAGUAACACGUGAGUAACCUGCCCUUGACUUUGGGAUAACUUCAGGAAACUGGGGCUAAUACCGGAUAGGAGCUCCUGCUGCAUGGUGGGGGUUGGAAAGUUUCGGCGGUUGGGGAUGGACUCGCGGCUUAUCAGCUUGUUGGUGGGGUAGUGGCUUACCAAGGCUUUGACGGGUAGCCGGCCUGAGAGGGUGACCGGCCACAUUUGGGACGGGGUACCGCCCCGACCCCUUCCGGAGGCAGCAGUGGGGAAUAUUGCACAAUGGGCGGAAGCCUGAUGCAGCAACGCCGCGUGCGGGAUGACGGCCUUCGGGUUGUAAACCGCUUUCGCCUGUGACGAAGCGUGAGUGACGGUAAUGGGUAAAGAAGCACCGGCUAACUACGUG
rnacentral:rRNA from 1 species